GAUGAACGCUGACAGAAUGCUUAACACAUGCAAGUCAACUGUGGCGGACGGGUGAGUAACGCGUAAAGAACUUGCCUCACAGUUAGGGACAACAUUUGGAAACGAAUGCUAAUACCUGAUACUGUGAGAGAGCUUUGCGUCCCAUUAGCUAGUUGGAGAGGUAACGGCUCACCAAGGCGUAGAUGGGUAGCCGGCCUGAGAGGGUGAUCGGCCACAAGGGGACUGGGGCGCGGCCCUUACUCCUAUGGGAGGCAGCAGCGGGGAAUAUUUGACAAUGUACCAAAGUCUGAUCAAGCAAUUCGGUGUGCACGGUAAAGUUUUCGGAAUGUAAAGUGCUUUCGGUUGGGAAGCGGUACCAGCAGAAGAAGUGACGGCUAAAUACGUGCCAGCAGCCGCGGUAAUUC
rnacentral:rRNA from 1 species